rnacentral:misc_RNA from 1 species
GAUGAAGAACGCAGCGAAAUGCGAUACGUAAUGUGAAUUGCAGAAUUCAGUGAAUCAUCGAAUCUUUGAACGCAUAUUGCGCUCUCUGGUAUUCCGGAGAGCAUGCUUGUUUGAGUAUCAGUAAACACCUCAACUCCCUUUUCUUUUUUGAAAUUGGAGCUGGACUUGAGUGAUCCCAACGCUUUCUUCCAAGAAAGUGGCGGGUUGCUUGAAAUGCAGGUGCAGCUGAACUUUUCUCUGAGCUAUAAGCAUAUCUAUUUAGUCUGCCUAAAAAACAGAUUAUUACCUUUGCUGCAGCUAACAUAAAGGAGACUAGUUCUUGUUCUGACUGAUGCAGGAUUCACAGAGACAGCUUCGGCUGACUUUGUAAACUCGAUCUCAAAUCAAGUAAGACUACCCGCUGAACUUAAGCAUAUCAAUAAGCGGAGGA